rnacentral:rRNA from 1 species
UACGGAGGGAGCUAGCGUUGUUCGGAAUUACUGGGCGUAAAGGGCUCGUAGGCGGCCAACUAAGUCAGACGUGAAAUCCCUCGGCUUAACCGAGGAACUGCCUGCCAGACUGUGUGGCUUGAGACCGGGAGAGGUGAGUGGAAUUCCCAGUGUAGCGGUGAAAUGCGUAGAUAUUGGGAGGAACACCAGUGGCGAAGGCGGCUCACUGGACCGGAACUGACGCUGAGGCGCGAAAGCGUGGGGAGCAAACAGG